CAAGGCUGAGGUGAACCUCUGGCCUUCCAGUUGAGGUACAGGGGUCCUUUGCUGGCCCCAGAUGUGGACAGUAUCCUCUCGAAUGCCCACCACUGGGAACCCUUAAGUCCCUCAAGGUCUUGGUCUGUCACCCAGGCUGGAGUGCAGUGGUCCAGUCAUGGCUCACUGCAGCCUCAACCUCCUAAACUCAAGUGAUCCUCUCGCCUCAGCUUCCCUAGUAGCUGGGACUGAAGUCUUGCUUCACCCUACCCAGCUAAUUUUAAAAAAAAUUUUUUUGUAGAGACAGCAUCUUGCCAUGUUGCCCAGGCUGGUCUCGAACUCCUGGAUUCAUACUAUCCUCCCACCUCGGCCUCCCAAAGUAUUGAGAUUACAAGCAUGAACCAUUGCA
ensembl:lncRNA DNAJA4-DT DNAJA4 divergent transcript